rnacentral:rRNA from 1 species
UACGGAGGGUGCAAGCGUUAUCCGGAUUCACUGGGUUUAAAGGGUGCGUAGGUGGGCAGGUAAGUCAGUGGUGAAAUCUCUGGGCUUAACUCAGAAACUGCCAUUGAUACUAUCUGUCUUGAAUACCGUGGAGGUCAGCGGAAUAUGUCAUGUAGCGGUGAAAUGCUUAGAUAUGACAUAGAACACCAAUUGCGGAGGCAGCUGGCUACACGAAUAUUGACACUGAUGCACGAAAGCGUGGGGAUCAAACAGG